rnacentral:lncRNA from 1 species
ACACUGCCGAAUGCCACCACGCGCGCGUUAUUUUCACCGACUACUGUGGUAGGGUUAGAGAACACGGAAAAAUUUACCAAGCUGAUUCCAAUAUCUCGUCAACCAGGAUUUUAUCACAAUAAUUUAGGAGCUUACGAUUCGACGUCGAUUCGAACCGCGUGUAGCAGCACCGUUCGUCUACGAAUUGAUAACUGGCGUUCAUUGAAAAACAUAAAGACGGAUACCCCUGCGCAAAUUUUUGUGAUCAGUUUUCGGCGGCAAGUGGGCCCUGGUGGGCCUGGGAGCGUGAGAGGGUUCUGCUCGAUCCACUCUACCUAACGAGCUCGCACAAUCAUUCGUAGCAGCAAAAAUAGUGUCGGUAUGAAAGCUUGAGAUGAGCGGGUAGAGAGUCAGUACGUAUGACUACUUGUCAACUGCGACUUCGAAAUGUGGAUCAGCUCGAUCAUCCCCGUGAGAAGAGCGUACCCGCGUCCACCGCCAACAACCCCCAACUACCUCUGAGCACCUCGAACCACCUCCGACCACCUUCGUCCUCCUCGGCCACCUCGUCCCCUUGUCGUUCGCGUCCUCAUCAACCACCUCUGAUCACCACCAACCUCCUCAAAACACCUACCGCCUCCAAACAUUUGAUGGCAAUUUACUCGGGGUAUAACCCGAGGUGGUUGGCGGUGGUCGUUGGAGGUGGUUGGCGGUGGU